rnacentral:tRNA from 1 species
GGUAAUGUAGCUUAGUGGUAGAGGUCUUGCCUACCAUGCAUGAGCACCAGGGUUCAAUCCCCAGUAUUACAC